AUAAUCAGUGCUUUAAUAUUUCUUUCAGUGCGAUCAAGAUGAUAUAAAUUGCAGGAAAAGCGAUGUAUUUCUUAGCGUAUCCUUCAGAAAGUUCCAAUUGUCAAAACACAUAUUUGAACCAAAGUAUAAAAGUAUUGAAUUGUUCAGUUACAUAGGAGGUUACAUGGGAAUGUGGUUGGGCAUCAGCCUCGUGUCGAUAUUUGAUCUCUUAGAAUCAUUGUGCUACUUGGUCUACUAUCCCUUCAUGCCCAAGAAAGUUUUCAAAAAUCGAAUUUCUUGAAGAAAAGAAAUCAUUGAAAUGUCAAUUUGAAAACAAAAAGAAGCAAAGCAUCAUCAUAAU